rnacentral:rRNA from 1 species
AUUGAACGCUAGCGGGAUGCUUUACACAUGCAAGUCGAACGAGUGGCGGACGGGUGAGUAAUAUAUCGGAACGUGCCCAGUAGCGGGGGAUAACUACUCGAAAGAGUGGCUAAUACCGCAUACUAUUGUAUGGGCCGCUAUCGGAUUAGCUAGUUGGUGGGGUAAAGGCGCACAAAGGCAACGAUCCGUAGCUGGUUUGAGAGGACGACCAGCCAGACUGGGACUGAGACACGGUCCAGACGCCUACGGGAGGCAGCAGUGGGGAAGUUUGGACAAUGGGGGAAACCCUGAUGCAGCCAUCCCGCGUGUAUGAGAAGGCCUUCGGGUUGUAAAGUACUUUUGGCAGAGAAGCGGUAUCUGCAGAAUAAGCACCGGCGAACUACGUGCCAGCAGCCGCGGUAAUAC